UGAUUCCUGUACUAUGUGUACCCAGAAAUGUGGGGACGCAUGUGGAGAGCACGAGCCGGGAAAGAGAAGACCGGUACAAGCGGGGUAGGAGUAAGGACAGCAAAUCUUCCUUACAAUCCGAAGACGUAAUGUGGACCGAACCAAAGUAGGGAAGCGUGUGAGCCAUGUGCCAAGAAAAGCCGCUAUUGUGAUACACAUACCCGUACCGUAAACCGACACAGGUGGAUGAGGAGAGAAUCCUAAGGCCGACGGAAGAAGCAUUGUUAAGGAACUCGGCAAAAUGACCCCGUAACUUCGGGAGAAGGGGUGCCCUGUGAAAGCAGGGCCGCAGAGAAUAGGCUCAAGCAACUGUUUAGCAAAAACACAGGUCUAUGCGAAACCGAAAGGUGAGGUAUAUGGGCUGACGCCUGCCCGGUGCUGGAAGGUUAAGAGGAGAAGUCAGGCAACGAAGCUUCGAAUUUAAGCCCCAGUAAACGGCGGCCGUAAUAAUAACGGUCCUAAGGUAGCGAAAUUCCUUGUCGGGUAAGUUCCGACCCGCACGAAAGGCGUAAUGAUUUGAGCACUGUCUCGACAAUGCAUCCGGUGAAAUUGAAGUACCAGUGAAGAUGCUGGUUACCUGCGCCAGGACGGAAAGACCCCAUGGAGCUCUACUCCAGCUUGAUACUGGGAUUCGAUACUGUAUGUACAGGAUAGGUGGGAGACGUUGAACAUAGAACGCCAGUUUUAUGUGAGUCGCUGUUGGGAUACCACCCUUGCAGUAUUGGAUUUCUAACCUGCAGCCAUGACCUGGCUGGGGGACAAUGUCUGGCGGGGAGUUUGACUGGGGCGGUCGCCUCCAAAAGGGUAUCGGAGGCGCUCAAAGGUUCCCUCAGAAUGGUUGGAAACCAUUCGAAGAGUGCAAAGGCAGAAGGGAGCUUGACUGUGACACCGACGGGUGGAACAGGUACGAAAGUAGGACUUAGUGAUCCGGUGGUAUAAAGUGGGAUUGCCAUCGCUCAACGGAUAAAAGCUACCCUGGGAUAACAGGCUUAUCACUCCCAAGAGUUCACAUCGACGGAGUGGUUUGGCACCUCGAUGUCGGCUCAUCGCAUCCUGGGGCUGUAGCAGGUCCCAAGGGUUGGGCUGUUCGCCCAUUAAAGCGGUACGCGAGCUGGGUUCAGAACGUCGUGAGACAGUUCGGUCCCUAUCCGGCGCAGGCGGAGGAUAUUUGAGAGGAGCUGUCCUUAGUACGAGAGGACCGGGAUGGACGGACCGCUGGUGUAUCUGUUGGCUAUCAGAGCCAUGGCAGAGUAGCCAAGUCCGGCAGGGAUAAACGCUGAAGGCAUCUAAGCGUGAAGCCCCCCUCAAGAUGAGAUAUCCCUCAGAAAUGAGUAAGACCCCUUGAAGACUACAAGGUAGAUAGGAAUGAGGUGUAAGCACAGCAAUGUGUUCAGCUGACAUUUACUAAUCGGUCGAGGGCUUGACC
rnacentral:rRNA from 1 species